GAUUGAGCUAAUAGAUACACUUUUCUCCCUUCAUUUCAGAGAUUAACUGUCCUGAGAUGAAACAGUUUACUCAACAUCUGGGAAGAUGAUCCCAUGAGAUCAUGCAGUCAGUUGCAAUUGACACCCACAGUAGUCAGCCCAGUAAUGUAUCCCAUCAUAUUUGUUUUCUUUUCUUCCCUUAUUCCUAUUUCUCUGGGAUUUACCUGCAAAUAAGUGAGCAUAUCAGCUUUUUCUUUAAGCUCUGUUUUCUAGGGUACUUGACUCAAGGUAGACGUUUGUCAUAUAAUGUUACAUGAAACAGUAAGUUACAGAAUACUACGGAAAAUAAUGAAUUUUAUGUAAAAAUACAAAAGCAUAUACACAUUUAAUUAUUCGUGACAUUGUAAAAAGAGGACUGGAUGGAUACACAUCUUUGAGAACAGGUAGGAGUAAAUAAAAGACUGAAUUUUUAUUUAUUCUUCUCUAGAAUUUUUAAGGUCAUGUAUUAACAUUUGCAAUUUUUUUAAAUACUGAAAAAAAACUUUAAAAAAGUACUGAAAAAUGCUGAAAAAAAUACUGAAAAAAUACUUUAAAAUAUCAUAAAGUUCAUAUUAUGCUAUACUUUAAAUUGAACAUAUUGCAUAUUUUUAUAUCAUUAAUAACAAAUUUUAGGCAUUGGAAGUAAACAAUUAAAAAAUGAUAAUAUUGGAAAAUGAGCUAAACAAAGUAAAUGUUGACGUGGUUUUCUAUUAGCUUUAACAUUUACUGGUCCUAAUGUGAAAUAUCUUUGUACGUAGAGUGGCAUCACAACACAAAACAAUGUCUUUUAAGGUUGUAUUUAUACAACACAAAAAAAAAACCCACAAAUCUAUAAAUUAACUGAUUUUUAAAAAAAUCAAUAUGGAUAAACAAGUAGAUAAAAACUCUGUAAAAAUUAACUGGUUAAAUGACAGUAUUUAUUCACUGUGCUCUCAAGACAGACCUCUUUAUCUUUGGAAAAAAAAAUAGCUCAAGAGAAAUUAAAAUUGGUUUCUUUCCUUUAAUCACAUUGAAGUUUCAACUUCAAUAUUAUAAUAGUAUUCUAAUAAAUGUAAUGCUUCUUUAGCCAUACAUGUUCAUUUUUAAGAUGUAGUAUGAGGCUGGGCAAGAUGGCUCAUGUGUGUAAUCCCAGCACUUUGGGAGGCUGAGGAGGGCAGAUCACCUAAGGUCAGGAGUUCAAGACCAGCCUAGCCAACAUGGCAAAACCCCACCUCUACUAAAAAUACAAAAAUUAGCCAGGCAUGGUGGUGGGCAACUGUAGUCUCAGCGACUCAGAGGCUAAGGCAGGAGAAUCGCUUGAACCUAGGAGGCGGAAGCUGCAGUGAGCUGAGAUAGUGCAACUGCACUCCAGCCUGGGUGACAGAGCAAGACUCCGUAUAUAAAAAAAAGAAAAGAUGUAGUAUGAGGCUUCUAUAUCACCAUAACUUGGGUUUAAAACCUUUUUCUUCAUUUUAUCCUGAAAGUGAGAAAAUCUCCCCAAGAGAGGGUAGCAUGUCCAUGAAGGCAGUCUGAACAAAAGGUGAUUGUGUAGAUUAUUAUAAACUAACUUUAGUUUUAUUCAAUUAUUACCUUUAAAAUGCAACAUACAAAUAAAUCAUUUUGUUUUCACAAAAUAAUAUAAAAUUUUAGGUAAUUCUUACAUACACUAGUGAAUAAUUUCAACUUUCUUUCUUGGCAAUAAGGACAAGCAAUUGAUUUUAGGGGCCAAAAAGUAGUUGUUAAACCAAUAUAAAUCACGCUUUCAUUUGUACUGAAGGCAAAAGGCUUUGAUGCUCUCACUAAUUAGAAAUAUGUAAAAUAUGAGAAGAAAUUACCAAACCAAUUGAUUCAUAUCUAGUUAUAUAUAUAUAAAUAUAUAAAAUAGGUAAUGACGAAAGCAUGUAAAGUCCCCUUAAUGUAUAAAUACAAUUCUUGAUAAUGGUCUAUUUAUGAAUUUUAUGGUUUUCAUGAAUUUAUAUUGUCAACCUAAACAGAAAACACAGAAGGAGAUUCUGCAAAAGAAAAUUAUGUUUAUUCAGAAAUAGGUAUUUCAGUAAGAACAUACGUGCCAUAGCAACUAUGUGAGUAUUCAGGAAAGUAAAGGAAGACAGAGGUUUUUAAAGGAAAAAUGAGGACUGUGUCACUGUUUUUAGAUAAUUAUUCUGGCUAGAAGGAUCAGUAACAACAAGAGUGGCGCCAGUCCAAGGUUGGACAGGCAGUUGCUGGGCAGAUGUUGUGACAGAGGUGUAAGAUUGUAAGGUUGUGAUGGCCUUUGUUCAAGAUUGUGGUUUUUGUGGACACUUUUGUGAUACUUCUUAUGAGGCAUUUAUGCACGAGAAUUCCCCCUUCACGGCUUUCCUUACCUCUAUUUGUCAGCGAUUUUUAAAACAAGUGACUGCAUUUUGAUUUUGACAAUUUUCACAAUGUUUACGUCAUAACUAAAAAUUACAAUAACUGGCUCCAAAAUUAGCUGUUUCACACAAAGGUGUUAACUGAUAAAUAGGACAAUCAUAAGGAAUAUUUUAAAAGGUGAUUGUUUAUUAACCUCUGUUAAAAACAAGUUCAAGAAUUUUGCACUCAGAACCAAGGACGGAGAGAAAGAAGUCCAGAUUUACUCAGCAGGAAGCUCAUAUUCCUAAUUGAGGAUGAAGACGCUAGGAUUACACACAGGCUAGAAGCUCACAUCCAUACCGAAAGAUGAAGGAGGCCUGCGUUACACAGCUUGACACUUAUAUACCCAUAUCCAAGGAAGAAGGAAACCAGGGUUCAUACAACCAGGAAAGUCACAUCCAUAUCCAUACAGAAUAGGAUUCCAGGGUUUACAUAUCCAGGAUAUGCAUAUCUACAUCUCAGAAACAACGAAAUUAGCCACUAAAUUCAUUACUAGUGGGAACGUAAAAUGGUACAACCACUCUGGAGAAGAGUCUGGGCAUUUCCUAAAGCCCUAGAUAAAUACAUAACCAUUAUACCACCCAGCAAUUGCAGUUUUGGGUUUAUCCUGGAGAAAUGAAAACCUGGGUUUGUAGAAAAACCUGCCCAGAAAUGCUCGUAACAACGUGAUGUGUAAAGCCCCAAAGUGGAAACAACCCUACAGUCCUUUCAACAGAUGAUUGGUUAAACCGACUAUGGUACAUCCAUACCAUUGAAUAGUACUCAGCAAUAAAAAUGGAACAAAGUAUUGACACCUUGGUACCACUGGAAACUCACUUCCUAGUACAGAAAACAGGUGGUCAGUGUAUACAAAGUAAACACACUGAACGAAUUUGCAGAGAACAAUGCUGCAGGGGGAAAAAGCCAGUCCCCUAAGCUUACAUAUUAUGCCACUCCAUUUAAAUAGAAUUCUUGAAAUGGCAACAUUCUGUAAGCGGGGGACAGCUUAGCGGUUGCCAGGCAUCAGGGCAAUGGGGAGAGAAGAAGGUGGUUGGCACUGGAAGGACAAUGGGAGGCAUCCUUGUGCAGAGGAAAGGGUCUGUAUGUUCAGUGCGCCGAGGUACUACAGCUCUCCAAGACGCCACCAGUGGGGGAAAUAGGUAAAGGGUACACUAUGAUCUCUGUAUUAUUUGUUAUAAGUACAUGUGAAUCCUCCAUGAGCUGGUAAAAAAGAUUUUAACUAAAAUAGAGUUGAGCCCUCCAGCACAGAUUGACCUGAGUAUUCUGUCAGUACAGGUUGACCUGAGUAUUCUCCCAACAGACUGACCUAGCAAGUCAGUCCCCAGGUCGGGCUCUACCCCUGGGAAUGGCACCCCUCCUCCAGAGGAAGCAUUUCCCAAAUGCCCCAGGAUAGGAGUUGGCGCGGAAGGAGAGCCAAGCCGGCGAUGAAGGCAUUCUCCACUGGACACAGGAACGCCAAGAGCCAACGCUAAGAAGCGGCCUCCACACGGGACGGCGGCCUCCAUUAGUGAGCUGCUGCUGGUAAAACAAAGAGAAGGCCGUGAGCAGGCGGCGCUGAGUGCAAACUGAGCGCAGUCCGCGGCGGCGGUACUUGAAAGCCAGCACACAGCCACCCAAAGGGAGCCCUCGCCGACCCACGGCUAGCGGGGCGCUCCCGCGGGGGUUCCGCGCCUCCCCUCCGCCAGGUGGAGCCAGUCCUCGCACGGGAGCCUCCGCGGUUCAGAGGUCACAUCCCGGCUGAAGUAAACUGCGCUCAGGCGGCCUUCAGGGGCGCGACCCCAGCGUCUUUCCUCGGCCCAAGCCCCGGCGCCCAGCAGAGACGACCUUAGCGGUCCUACGCCUAGCGGUCCUGCAGGUCCCUGAAUCCUCUUCGGAUCAGCACUGAGGAAAGGCGGGAGCUCGGCCGCGCGCCCUGCCUCCGCCGCCAUGGCCCAGCUGCGAGCCUGCGAAGUCCGGCAGCUGCUGCACAACAAGUUCGUGGUGGUCAUGGGGGACUCGGUCCAGCUGGCCGUGUACAAGGACCUGGUGCUCCUGCUUCAGAAGGACUGCCUGCUGUCCUCCAGUCAGCUGAAGGCCAAGGGCGAGCUGAGCUUCGAGCGCGACAUGCUGCUGGUGGGCUGCAGCAGCGGCCGCAUGCACUACGACAGCCACUACCGCGAGGUGCGCCAGUUCCGCUCGGGCCACCACCUGGUGCGCUUCUACUUCCUCACGCGCGUGUACUCGCACUACGCGGAGCGCGUCGUGGAGGAGCUGCGUAGGGCCGAGCCCGCCCCGGACGUGGUGAUCAUGAACUCCUGCCUCUGGGACCUCGCCAGGGAUGGCCGGGGCUUCCCCAGGAGCUACCGGCGUGACGUGGAAAGCCUGUUCGUGCGGCUGGACUGGGCGCUGCCCACGUCCUGCCUCCUGAUGUGGAACACCGCCAUGCCCGUGGCCGAAACCAUCUCGGGAAGCUGCCUCCCAUGCGCGCGCCAGCUCCGCCGCGCCCGCCUGCGCGAAGAGGUGAUGGAGGCCAACUUCUACAGCUCCGCCGAGGCGGCGAGGCGCGGCUUCGACGUGCUGGACCUGCAUUUCCACUUCCGCCACGCCACGCGGCACCGGCUCGCCGACGGCGUGCACUGGGACGAGCGCGCGCACCGCCACCUUUCCCAGCUGCUACUGGCCCACCUGGCAGACGCCUGGGGCGUGGACCUGCCCCGCCGCGAAGCCGUGGACGGGUGGGUCAGGCAUGGCCACGCCAACAGACGUGCAGCCCCGGCGGGCAGAAGGCAGCCCCGAGACGACCGAGCGGACCCACACGGCCGAGGGGACCGAGCGGGCCGAGGAGACCGAGCGGACCGAGGAGACCUCCGUGCCCCUCGAUCGCUCGCUUCGUUCUUCUGGGCUCGACCGCCUUUCCCUCCCCGCCGUCAGGUCGCGUAUCUGUCCUCUGACCGGCAUUUCUCCAGCGACUCCUCCACGCGCCAGAUCCGACACAGCGGCGAAGAAAACGCCAGGGUUGGCCGCGAGUCGCGGCCGGGCCCCAUCCGCACAAGCUCUGCUCUGCGCCGAGAGAGGGGGCAUUCCCCUUACCGUCCGUGGCGCCCCAGCGAGCCACGCCUAAGCCAGCGAAGCCGCACACGCACACACAGAGGGGUCCCGAGAACACCCAGGCCUCAGUAGCCAGACCUGGGAGAACGUCCUGUCUUCCCCAGCAUGGUCAAUGGGCUGCCUGACCACUAUCACACGAGCUUGGCCUUCAGCAACUCUUCCGAGGUGGGGGUAUUUUUACGCUUCGUACUCCAAUCAGUGAACCGCUUUCCACAUCACUCGUCUUUGCCAGAGCUUCCACGCCGCUUUUUGGGAAGGGAGCAGGGACCCAGACCACCAGGCCGUUCUCCUCGAAGCAUUUAGGGAGAAAUGAAGUCUACAUAAAAGUGCUCCUCGCCUUAAAAAAAACAAAACAAAAAACAAAAAAAACCCAGCCAUACCCGAAUGUAAGUCUUCAGGCAGUAUUUUCCAUUGACAUUCUUCCAAAAAAAGGGUGGUUGAAGUCCAAAAUCAAUAAAAAUAAGCAUGCUUAGAGCAGGAAAGAAGAAAAAAGAGAUAAUAAAAGAAGAAAACGUUUUAAAGGAACUCAUAAACACCUUGGAACUAUAUUUGGGAAAAAAAGAUCAUGCAGAAGAAUUUUGAAAGAAAACACCUCCACAAAAGUGCACCUUCUCUCUCCCUCUGUUUUCUCCGUAAUAGAUUCUAAUAUAAUUCUUGCUUGGGCUGGACUGUACUCUGUCAUGCAAAACAAAGGACAAUCCUCUUAGCUUCAGCUUCUGGUUAUUUGAGCCCAACUAAAGACAAACAGGAUAGGCCAAAGGCAAAUUGUCAAGUGGAAAAACUUGGCUUAUGUCUAGACAUUCCCUUUUCCCUGCUCUCUCCUGACUUAGAGAUACCCACCCACCUUCACCCUUAGUGCCCAGUACUCAUCUGCUCUAAAAUCUCUCUUCUGUCAAAAAUAGAAAGCAUGUUUUACAAUAUUUAUCCCUGUAGCCAGGUUUCAAUUUCACUUUUACUGCAUUUAAAUAAUAAAAACAAUGUCAGAAUUUUUUUUUAAUUAACUGAUUUGAUUUUUCCACUGAAGCAAGACAGAAUAGACUGAAUCCAUCCCAGGAGGCUCAGGCCAACCCAGUAUCUUUAAGUAGUAUUUCACAUACAUACUCAGUGUCUGCAGGUAAAGUGCCCAGUCUCAUAUUUUCUUCCUUCUUGGCAUGGAGGUGUUUGUGACCCCAUGACCUAAGGGGUGAAGAGGAACCCGAUCCUAGCAUUUUUCUCUGUGUUUUCACAUUUUCUGGCAUCAGAGUAACUCCCUUGUUCUGUUCUUUGGGUUGGUAACUGUUGAGUUUGAAAGGCCCAUCUGCCUUUGGCUGGGGGUGAUGAGUGGUACGUACUGCUGGGGUCUGUGUCUCAACUUCCUGCCUGCUGCCCCUCCUUUCUUUAACAUUAGAUCUCUCUGCAAAUUCAUUGGCUCUCUCACCAGCUCCAUGUUCCUUCAGACAGGAAGUGGAGAAGCAGAAGGAUGACUGCCUCAGGCUUCUCUCCCUAUCCGGCUCCUAGCACCAGUCCAGCUCUCUAGCUCCUGGCCAUGCUGGGUGAGGGAAUUGUCCUAGAUACUGAAUGGCAGCUUCCCUAACAUGCCCAAGAAGACAUGCAACCGAUUGGUGAUGCCAGGCUCUGGAAAACAACAGUUAAGGAUUUCUGAGGCUGAAAAUACAUUGACUUCUUACCUCCUAAAUAUAAUCCUAUUACACAUUAGGAACCUCAUUCCUAUUAACUUACUCAGAUAUUAGCACUUAAACUUUCUAUUCAAACUACCACCAGAGAAUACUAUAAACACCUCUAUGAAAAUAAACUAGAAAAUCUAGAAGAAAUGGAUAAAUUCCUGGACACAUACACCCUCCCAAGACUAAACCAGGAAGAAGUUGAAUCCCUCAAUAGACCAAUAACAGGCUCUGAAAUUUAGGCAAUAAUUAAUAGCCUACCAACCAAAAAAAGUCCAGGACCAGACGGAUUCACAGCCAAAUUCUACCAGAGUUACAAACAGAAGCUGGUACCAUUCCCUCUGAAACUAUUCCAAUCAAUAGAAAAAGAGGGAAUCCUCCCUAAUGCAUUUUAUGAGGCCAGCAUCAUCCUGAUACCAAAGCCUGGAACAGACGCAACAAAAAAAGAGAAUUUUAGACCAAUAUCCCUGAUGAACAUCAAUGCAAAAAUCCUCAAUAAAACACUGGCAAACCGAAUCCAGCAGCACAUCAAAAAGCUUAUCCAUCAUGAUCAAGUGGGCUUCAUCCCUGGGAUGCAAGGCGGGUUCAAUGUACGCAAAUCAAUAAACGUAAUUCAUCAUAUAAACAGAACCAAAGACAAAAACCAUGUGAUUAUCUCAAUAGAUGCAGAAAAGGCCUUUGACAAAAUUCAACAGCCCUUCAUGCUAAAAACUCUCAAUAAACUAGGUAUUGAUGGGACGUAUCUCAAAAUAAUAAGAGCUAUUUAUGACAAACCCACAGACAAUAUCAUACUGAAUGGGCAAAAACUGGAAGCAUUCCAUUUGAAAACUGGCACAAGACAGGGAUGCCCCCUCUCACCACUCCUAUUCAACAUAGUGUUGGAAGUUCUGGCCAGGGCAAUCAGGCAGGAGAAACAAAUAAAGGGUGUUCAAUUAGGAAAAGAGGAAGUCAAAUUGUACCUGUUUGCAGAUGAUGUGAUUGUAUAUUUAGAAAACCCCAUCGUGUCAGCCCAAAAUCUCCUUAAGCUGAUAAGCAACUCAGCAAAGUCUCAGGAUACAAAAUCAAUGUGCAAAAAUCACAAGCAUUCCUAUACACCAAUAACAGACAAUCAGAGAGCCAAAUCAUGAGUAAACUCACAUUCACAAUUGCUUCAAAGAGAAUAAAAUACCUAGGAAUCCAACUUACAAGGGAUGUGAAGGACCUCUUCAAGGAGAACUACAAACCACUGCUUAUCAAAAUAAAAGAGGACAUAAACAAAUGGAAGAACAUUCCAUGCUCAUGGAUAGAAAGAAUCAAUAUCAUGAAAAUGGCCAUACUGCCCAAGAUAAUUUAUAGAUUCAGUGCCAUUCCCAUCAAGCUACCAAUGACUUUCUUCACAGAAUUGGAAAAAACGACUUUAAAGUUCAUAUGGAACCAAAAAAGAGCCCGCAUUGCCAAGACAAUCCUAAGCCAAAAGAACAAAGCUGGAGGCAUCAUGCUACCUGACUUCAAACUAUACUACAAGUCUACAGUAACCAAAACGGCAUGGUACUGAUACCAAAACAGAGAUCUAGACCAAUGGAACAGAACAGAGCCCUCAGAAAUAAUACCACAAAUCUACAACCAUCUGAUCUUUCACAAACCUGACAUAAACAAGAAAUGGGGAAAGGAUUCCCUAUUUAAUAAAUGAUGCUGGGAAAACUGGCUAGCCAUAUGUAGAAAACUGAAACUGGAUCCCUUCCUUACACCUUAUACAAAAAUCAAUUCAAGAUGGAUUAAAGACUUAAAAUUAGACCUAAAAUCAUAAAAAGCCUAGAAGAAAACCUAGGCAAUACCAUUCAGGAUGUAGGCACAGGCAAGGACUUCAUGACUAAAACACCAAAAGCAAUGGCAACAAAAGCCAAAAUUGACAAAUGGGAUCUAAUUAAACUAAAGAGCUUCUGCACAGCAAAAGAAACUACCAUCAGAGUGAACACGCAACCUACAGAAUGGUAGAAAAUUUUUACAAUCUACCCAUCUGACAAAGGGCUAAUAUCCAGAAUCUACAAAUAGCUCAAACAAAUUUACAAGAAAAAAUCAAACAACCCCCUCAAAAAGUGGGCAAAGGAUAUGAACAGACACUUCUCAAAUGAAGACAUUUAUGCAGCCAACAGACACAUGAAAAAAUGCUCAUCAUCACUGGCCAUCAGAGAAAUGCAAAUCAAAACCACAAUAAGAUACCAUCUCACACCAGUUAGAAUGGCGAUCAUUAACAAGUCAGGAAACAACAGGUGCUGGAAAGGAUGUGGAGAAAUAGCAACACUUUUACACUGUUGGUGGGACUGUAAACUAGUUCAACCAUUGUGAAAGACAGUGUGGUGAUUCCUCAAGGAUCUAGAACUAUAAAUACCAUUUGACCCAGCCAUCUCAUUACUGGGUAUAUACCCAAAGGAUUAUAAAUCAUGCUGCUAUAAAGACACAUGCACACGUAUGUUUAUUGUGGCACUGUUCACAAUAGCAAAGACUUGGAACCAACCCAAAUGUCCAUCAAUGAUAGACUGGAUUAGGAAAAUGUGGCACUUAUACACCAUGGAAUACUAUGCAGCCAUAAAAAAGGAUGAGUUCAUGUCCUUUGUAGGGACAUGGAUGAAGCUGGAAACCAUCAUUCUGAACAAACUAUCACAAGGACAGAAAACCAAACACCGCAUGUUCUCACUCAUAGGUGGGAAUUGAACAAUGAGAACACCUGGACACAGGGUGGGGAACAUCACACACCGGGGCCUGUUGUGGGGUGGGGGCAGUGGGGAGGGAUAGCAUUAGGAGAUAUAGCUAAUGUAAAUGAUGAGUUAAUGGGUGCAGCACACCAACAUGGCACAUGUAUACAUAUAUAACAAACCUACACAUUGUGCACAUGUACCCUAGAACUUAAAGUAUAAUAAAAAUAAAUAAUAAACUUUUUAUUCUAAUUUAUUCAUUUGAUGUUUUCCAAAUUAUAAAACCAAUAUCUAACUGUGGUAACAAGAUAAACAAUAUAAACAGGGUUUACAAAAUUACUUUUAUCUUUUCUCACUUAAUUUCCUCUCCUACACACACAUACACACCCUAUACACACACUCGCCUAUAUACACCGGUGCAUAUACAGCCACAUAUAUACACAGAAGGCUUUGAUUUCCUUUAAAUAAAACAUCAAAAUGUCAUCAUAUUCUCAUUAUCCUGGGUGUCCUUUUAUUCAGUUAACAAUGUAUUAUGGCCACCCAAAAAUAUGUAGGAAUUAACUAAGUUCUGUUUUUUCUAAUAAAUAAUGUGUGAACACAAAAUAACAUAUCCUCAUAUGCACACAUAUAAUAUUAUCUAUAAAUAGAAUUAUAUUGUAUUAUUUUCCAAGGUAGUCAUUUUCUUUAUUCUUCACUCCACUGUCCUCUUAUCCUUCUGUCAACCUGCACACUGCCAUAUCCUCUAAUCUGCAUCUGCUCUGGCAAAACCAAGAUAAGUAGUUAAUAAUUCAGGUGGAUAUUUUAUAUCAUUAAUGCUCUAAUCAUUUAGUUAUAUAUUAAGAGUGAUGGAACAGGCCCUAGGGUGCCUGUAAAGAACAAUCUUAAAUACUGGAGUUGAAAAUACAGGGCAUUUACUUCUUUGUGGUGUUGUUUAAAAUAAAAUUCAAAUCUGUUAUAAUGUAAUGUGACUUGACACCUUGCUUUUGUCUCUGAUCAUGGAAAACUCUGAGUAAAUUGCAACCAUUCUAAUUCAUUUCUCUUGGUGGCUGCAUGAUAUUCCAAGGUGUGAAGUUUUGGUUUGAGAACUUUACUAUUUUGAAUAAUGCUGUUUUAAGCAUUCUUCUACAUCUACCCUUUCAUAUUUAUGGAUGAGUUUCCUAGGGGGUUAUAUUACUGGAUCAAAGGGAAUUUUAAAUUUUCAUAGAUUUUCCCAGAUUGUUAUUUCAAAGAGGUUAUAGCAACAUUUUCACUAUCAAUGCAUAGAAGAGUACUUUUCUGCAAAUCUCUAUGAAAAAUGGCUAAUACAUUUUUAAAUGUUCUAACGGGCUGUGUAUAAAAUCAUAUAAUUGUCAUUUUAGUUUUAAUUUCCCUGUUUACUUGGAAGUCUAGGAACCUUUUCAUAUGUUAACAGGUCACUGGCACUUGUCCUUUUGUAAAAACUCUAGUCAUAUAUUUUGCUCAUAUUUCCACCUACUUAUUUAUAUAUUUCCACGUUUAUUACUUUUUAAGAACUCUUUUUCUAUUAUGGCUCAAUUUUCCCAAAUCUAUCACUUGACUUUUACUUUAUGUUGAAUUCUUGCUCAGAGAGCUCACAUAGUGCUCAUUAGGGUCAUUCACUGGUUCCUUGUUUUAUCAAUUUGGAGAGGUCAUGGUUCCUCCCUGUUUGCUGUUGUUUCUUGUGGAUGUACAUUUAUGUAUUUGCAUUGAAUGAUUAGUUAUUGAUUCCAGUCUUUUCUGUCUGGCUUGUUUUGUUUUAUAAUUGGAUACAUUUGGUUAGAGUCUUUGUAAUUUAUCUGAUGAAUUCCUUUUCUUUUUUCCCCACUAGGUUGCUGCCUCUUUUUUAGCACUAGAUGGCGUCUGAAAGCCAGCUUUGCCUGUGCUCUAGCAAACAGAACGCUGCCUGACCUGAAUGGGGGGGGUUCCCAAACAGAUAGUAGGCUGGCCGUGUGGGAAGACUGGUUCAUGCGCAGAGGACCUGUGUAAAGUACUUCUUACAGGGUGAUGCUGCUGAACGACCACUCUGCUUUGGCGUCUCCUUCGGCUGAGCUACAGAGCAGAGUUUCCCCGGCUGAGGAUGGUAGUCCCAUCUCCACAUUUUGUCUCUGCCUAUCCUAAGGAAUAUUUUUCCUUUCAGGCACUAGGAAAGCUUUGCUGUGUUGAAGCAGGGACAGAUAUCCUGCCAGGGAACCUAAGAUGAUGGGGAAACUGGCCAUCCACCAUGACCUCACUUUUUCUAGUGUAGAAACCAAGAGUUAGAGGCAGACUUCCCAUGUGCUUGGUGCCAAGCUGACUGGUGGGAGGGGCAUCACAGGUAUGGAAGUCCAAUUCCCUUAUCAUUUGCUCAAUGUUUUUUCACUUACUUGUGGCCCUGGAAACUGUCUCAUCUUUAUAUUUGAAUUCUGGGAUAAUGCUGGUGAUAAUCUCAGUGCUGUUUAUUUGGUUUUGGUUUUUCUGUUGUGGGUGAGGGUGGGUAGUGAAGCCAGAUUGAUUCUGUGCCGCCAUUUUGAAAACAAAAACUGACUUUAAGCUAUUUGCUGUACAUUUUAAGUGCUUAUAUUAGUCAAAUCAACUACAAAAAAAGUUUACUGAAGUAAUUGAAUAACAGUUUCCAAAAAAGACGUUUUUAAAAAAAUCUUACCAACAAGGUAUUUGGAUGUGAAAUUCUAAGAUAGUUCCUUGGCUUAGAGGGAACAUCAUGGAUUCAUCCCCUUUCCAUUCAUCCUUUUUCUCUUCCAUCUAAGUGUUUUAGCUUUUCAUCCUAAGCCUAAAUAUUGACUGUUAGACAUAAGAUAGCUUCUAAGAUACAGACAUGGUGUUUUCACAUGGUUGUGUUCAAAGGUAGAAAGUAGAGGUACUGGGGCAGUGAGAAAGCUCUCUCUUUCUCUUAUUUUAUUUUAUUUUAUUUUUGAGUCAGAGUCUCUCUCUGUUAUCCAGCCUAGAGUAUAGUGGUGCAAUCUCAGCUCACUGCAACCUCUACCUCCUGGGUUUGAGCAAUUCUUGUGUGCCUCAGCCUCCAGAGUAGGUGGGAUUACAUAAGCAUGUGCCCUCACAUAUAGCUUCUUUUUUUUUUUUUUUUUGAGAUGGAAUCACACUCUGUCACCCAGGCUGAAGUGCAGUGGCAUGAUCUCGGCUCACUGCAACCUCCUCCUCCCAGGUUCCAGUGAUUCUCCUGCCUCAGUCUCCUUAGUAGCUGGGACUACAGGCAUGUGCCACCACACCUGGCUAUUUUUUUUUUUUGUAUUUUUAGUAGAGACGGGGUUUCACCAUGUUGGCUAGGCUGGUCUCAAACUCCUGGCCUGAAAUGAUCUGCCCACCUUGGCUUCCCAAAGUGCUGGAAUUACAGAUGUAAGCCACCAUGCCCUGCCCAAGAAAGUUCUCCUUAUAAAAGAAGGGAAUAGCCCUUGGAUGAGCUAUGUGUUUUCCAUAGCCAAAUACAUACUUUUCUUUAUAGCUUCUAGAUUUCGUACAUUAUUUAAAAGGGUUUCUUAUACCUAUAGAUGGUACAUUUAAUCUCCCAAUUUUUCAUUGUCUUAAUGUUUUAUAUUUAGGUCUCUGUUCUAUCUAAAAUUUAUUUCUUAUAUCAUUUGGAUUAAAAAAUUCAAAGAAAUUUAAUUUUGUUUUCCUUCAGGAGGAAAGCCAGUUUUGUCUGCACUCUUUAUUAAAUAAACCGGCUUUCCUCACUGAAGAAAAAUACCAGCAUUGUCAUCUAUUUAAUGUUUGUGUAUUCUGGAGGAUGUUGAGUCCUCCCUUCUCCUGGCCUGAUUUUAUAUCAUGGGCUAAUUCAUUAUUUAUUUUAUUUUAAUUACUUUAAAAUAUUUUUAUUUUCAUGUAAGUCAAAUGUUUUCCCACUAUUCUUCACUUUUUCUUGGCUGUCAUUAAAUGUAUUGUUAUAUAGGAAUCUUAAGCUCAUUGUAUUCAAUUUGAAAAUGAACAAACCAAAUGCUAAUGUUAUUCUGAUGAGAUGAAAAUGCAUUAAAUUUAUGCAUCACUUUUGUGGAGAUUGACAUUUUAAAGAUAUUAACUCUUCUCAUCUUAGAAUAUAGUCAAGGUUAUCAUUUGUCUUUUAUGUCUUUUGUCAAAUUUUUUUUUAAUUUUCUCUAUUUUGGGGGGUUGAUCUUAAGUUUAUUUUUAAGAUUUUUAUAGAUCUAAUUACUGUUGUGAAGGAAUAGUCAUAUUAUGAGGAAAUUACAUAUUUCUAUUUCUAAGAAAACACUUUUUUAAUAUUUGUUUCUUAUGCAGAUACUGUGCCACAUUUUUUCUAAGAAGCUUUUACAUAUAAUUUGAAUUUUCAAAUGCACAAUUUUUCCACCAAUAGCGUUUAUAUCAAUUACUUCACUUUAUUAACUUAUUGCAUUCCCUCGAAUCUCCCAGUGUUGCAGUGGUAAUCA